CAAGUCGAACGGCACGCGCGGGGCAACCUGGCGGCGAGGUGGCGGAACGGGUGAGUAAUAUAUCGGAACGUCGCCCAGUCGUGGGGGAUAACGUAGACGAAGUUACGCUAAUACCGCAUACGAUCUACGGAUGAAAGCGGGGGACUCGCAAGAGCCUCGCGCAAUUGGAGCGGCCGAUAUCAGAUUAGGUAGUUGGUGGGGUAAAGGCUCACCAAGCCAACGAUCUGUAGCUGGUCUGAGAGGACGACCAGCCACACUGGAACUGAGACACGGUCCAGACUCCUACGGGAGGCAGCAGUGGGGAAUUUUGGACAAUGGGCGAAAGCCUGAUCCAGCAAUGCCGCGUGCAGGAAGAAGGCCUUCGGGUUGUAAACUGCUUUUGUACGGAACGAAAAGGCUCUUUCUAAUAAAGAGGGCCCAUGACGGUACCGUAAGAAUAAGCACCGGCUAACUACGUG
rnacentral:rRNA from 1 species